rnacentral:rRNA from 1 species
GAUGAACGCUGGCGGCGUGCCUAAUACAUGCAAGUCGAGCGAACGGAUGAGAAGCUUGCUUCUCUGAUGUUAGCGGCGGACGGGUGAGUAACACGUGGAUAACCCACCUAUAAGACUGGGAUAACUUCGGGAAACCGGAGCUAAUACCGGAUAAUAUUUUGAACCGCAUGGUUCAAAAGUGAAAGACGGUCUUGCUGUCACUUAUAGAUGGAUCCGCGCUGCAUUAGCUAGUUGGUAAGGUAACGGCUUACCAAGGCAACGAUGCAUAGCCGACCUGAGAGGGUGAUCGGCCACACUGGAACUGAGACACGGUCCAGACUCCUACGGGAGGCAGCAGUAGGGAAUCUUCCGCAAUGGGCGAAAGCCUGACGGAGCAACGCCGCGUGAGUGAUGAAGGUCUUCGGAUCGUAAAACUCUGUUAUUAGGGAAGAACAUAUGUGUAAGUAACUGUGCACAUCUUGACGGUACCUAAUCAGAAAGCCACGGCUAACUACGUGCCAGCAGCUGCGGUAAUACGUAGGUGGCAAGCGUUAUCCGGAAUUAUUGGGCGUAAAGCGCGCGUAGGCGGUUUUUUAAGUCUGAUGUGAAAGCCCACGGCUCAACCGUGGAGGGUCAUUGGAAACUGGAAAACUUGAGUGCAGAAGAGGAAAGUGGAAUUCCAUGUGUAGCGGUGAAAUGCGCAGAGAUAUGGAGGAACACCAGUGGCGAAGGCGACUUUCUGGUCUGUAACUGACGCUGAUGUGCGAAAGCGUGGGGAUCAAACAGG